UCCCCGGUAGUUAAGUGGUUAAGACUAUGCAUUUUUAAUGCUGGGGGCGUGGAUUUGAUCCACGGUUGGGGAA
rnacentral:tRNA from 1 species